UACGGGGGGUGCGAGCGUUGUCCGGAAUCACUGGGCGUAAAGGGCGCGUAGGUGGCUUGGUAAGUCUGUGGUGAAAGCCCGGAGCUCAACUCCGGGUCUGCCGCGGAUACUGCGAGGCUUGAGUGCUGUAGAGGGGGGUAGAAUAUCGGGUGUAGCGGUGGAAUGCGUAGAGAUCCGAUAGAAGACCGGUGGCGAAGGCGGCCCCCUGGGCAGUAACUGACACUGAGGCGCGACAGCGUGGGGAGCAAAC
rnacentral:rRNA from 1 species